UGAACAUUGUUCUUGAGGCACCAGAGA
rnacentral:piRNA from 1 species